GAUGAACGCUGGCGGCGUGCCUAAUACAUGCAAGUCGAGCGAACGGACGAGAAGCUUGCUUCUCUGAUGUUAGCGGCGGACGGGUGAGUAACACGUGGAUAACCUACCUAUAAGACUGGGAUAACUUCGGGAAACCGCAGCUAAUACCGGAUAAUAUUUUGAACCGCAUGGUUCAAAAGUGAAAGACGGUCUUGCUGUCACUUAUAGAUGGAUCCGCGCUGUAUUAGCUAGUUGGUAAGGUAACGGCUUACCAAGGCAACGAUGCAUAGCCGACCUGAGAGGGUGAUCGGCCACACUGGAACUGAGACACGGUCCAGACUCCUACGGGAGGCAGCAGUAGGGAAUCUUCCGCAAUGGGCGAAAGCCUGACGGAGCAACGCCGCGUGAGUGAUGAAGGUCUUCGGAUCGUAAAACUCUGUUAUUAGGGAAGAACAUAUGUGUAAGUAACUGUGCACAUCUUGACGGUACCUAAUCAGAAAGCCACGGCUAACUACGUG
rnacentral:rRNA from 1 species